rnacentral:rRNA from 1 species
CAGCCGCCGCGGGAAUACGUAGGGUGCGAGCGUUAAUCGGAAUUACUGGGCGUAAAGCGUGCGCAGGCGGUUGUGUAAGACAGGUGUGAAAUCCCCGGGCUUAACCUGGGAACUGCGCUUGUGACUGCACAGCUAGAGUAUGGCAGAGGGGGGUGGAAUUCCACGUGUAGCAGUGAAAUGCGUUGAGAUCGGAAAGGACACCAACGGCGAAAGCACUCUGCUGGGCCGACGUUGACACUGAGAGACAAACGCUAGGGGAGAAAAUGGGAUUAGAUACCCCAGUAGUCCCUGUCUCUUAUAC